UACGAGGGGGGCGAGCGUUGUUCGGAAUUAUUGGGCGUAAAGGGCGCGUAGGCGGUCGGAUAAGUCUUGUGUGAAAUCUUCGGGCUCAACUCGAAGUCUGCACAGGAAACUAUCUGGCUUGAGUGUGGGAGAGGUGAGUGGAAUUCCUGGUGUAGCGGUGAAAUGCGUAGAUAUCAGGAGGAACACCUGUGGCGAAAGCGGCUCACUGGACCACAACUGACGCUGUGGCGCGAAAGCUAGGGGAGCAAACGGG
rnacentral:rRNA from 1 species